GGGACAUCCUUUUCUCUCCCUGGGUCUGUGUCCCCGUCGCUACAUCCCAGCCUGGAGGGCAUGGCCCAGCGGUUGCAUAGGUCCCUCGGUUUCUGCAGAGCCCGGGAGUCACCCUAUUUUGGUAAAGGUGAAUUGCUCCUCCAUGGGUCGUGAAAGAAGAUCAUGUCAGUGGUGGUGUUUCUGCUCGUCUCAGAAGGGAAGUCUGUGACCCGUGGGAGUUGCUGGGGAGGGCCUGGUCUGGGCCAGGCCUCUUCUUUGGGUUGCCCCCUCACACACUCUGGUCAUCCAGGAAGCCUCUGUGGCCCUCGGAAUGUGUAAAAGAUGGUGGUUUUAGGAGCUGCUGGUUUUGCAACUGAGUGCUGACGGCUUAUUUCUUGUUAAUGAUUCUGUCAAAAGUGUCUUAGCGAUGCUCUUCAGCCCUUCAUCACCCACCCAAAAAAGAUUAAAGUGGAUUCUUCAUCAGCUAUUUUAAAAUCACCUAAGAAUUAUACAAUCCUUUGGAGAAUCAAA
rnacentral:lncRNA from 10 species